UUGUCUUUUAAAUAAAGACCAGUAUGAAUGGCAAGACGAAAGUUCAACUGUCUCCCUAAAUUAAUCAAUGAAAUUGAUCUUCCCGUGCAGAAGCGGGAAUAAAAUUAUAAGACGAGAAGACCCUAUGGAGCUUUAAAUAUAUGAUCAACUGUAUAAUAUAAAAUUCAAUAGAUUAAAUAUUUAAUAAAACAUUAUGAUCAAAAUUUUAGGUUGGGGCGACCACGGAGAAAAACAAAACCUCCGAGAUGAAAAGAAUAUCUUAAUUUAUGAAUUACAGUUCUAAUAAAUAAAAUAUUUAACAUAAUUGAUCCAAUAUUUUUGAUCAACGAACUAAGUUACCCUAGGGAUAACAGCGCAAUCCUUUCCAAGAGUCCCUAUCGACGAAUGGGUUUACGACCUCGAUGUUGGAUCAGGACACCCCAAUGGUGCAGCCGCUAUUAAAGGUUCGUUUGUUCAACGAUUAAAGUCCUA
rnacentral:rRNA from 1 species